AUGACGUGUCUUGAAAUGCUUGAUCUGACAGUCACAGCCUCUCAAGAAAGAAGUAUCACAGAGGAAAGGCAAGUACAUUUAAUGAGCUCAGUUCACUGCUGGGUCACACCAGAGCAGAAGGACAAGACCUCCAUCGCUGGAAAGACCACCCAGAGAGGAGGAAGCUGCGCUUGCCCAGGAGGGAGCUGUGACAGAACCCAAGGGCUGCUGCUCUGUGAGCAAGAGGCAGCAGCUGGUGCCAGCAAGGGAAACUGGGGUGAGCCUCUCCUUUCUCUCCUCUUCCCUCUGUCUAUCCACACCUGCAGGCAGGGUAUGGGGCAAGAAGCCCCCUUUUAGCCCCCCACAGCUGAAGUGUGUCAGGGCAGAGAACUGGGGAGGUCAGUGUGGAGCUGUGCUUGGCAGCACCAUGGGGACCACAGGAAUGUGACUGUAAGGUCCUGGCUGUGUGUCCUCAGACAGGAGAACAUGCUGCUUCCCAGAAGAGCUUUUGUCCAUGGUAAGCCCAGUGCCCUCUUUCAGAAAAGGCUCUCAGACACACGCCCCCAAAAAGGAAAAAGGAAGUUUUGAAAGGUGGGAUCUGAGGAGAGGAAGUGACUCAUGGGCUCAAAGAGAGAUGGCCAGGCAGUGAGAGCCGGCCGAGGCAGCAGAAGCGAUCCCCAACUGUGCCGAGUCGUGGGAAUGGAGGUGAGGAAGGAG
rnacentral:lncRNA from 1 species